rnacentral:rRNA from 1 species
UACAGAGGUCCCAAGCGUUGUUCGGAUUCACUGGGCGUAAAGGGUGCGUAGGUGGCGAGGUAAGUCGGAUGUGAAAGCUCGGAGCUCAACUCCGAAAUGGCAUUGGAAACUACCUUGCUUGAGGGUUGGAAGGGGGACUGGAAUUCUCGGUGUAGCAGUGAAAUGCGUAGAUAUCGAGAGGAACACCAGUGGCGAAGGCGAGUCCCUGGACAAUACCUGACACUGAGGCACGAAAGCUAGGGGAGCAAACAGG